rnacentral:misc_RNA from 1 species
GAUGAAGAACGCAGCGAAAAGCGAUAAGUAAUGUGAAUUCCAGAAUUCAGUGAAUCAUCGAAUCUUUGAACGCACAUUGCGCCCCUUGGUAUUCCGAGGGGCAUGCCUGUUCGAGCGUCAUAUUAACCACUCCCGCUUGCGGGGUCUUGGGCUUCGCCUCCGGGCGGGCCUUAAAAUCAGUGGCGGUGCCGUCGGGCUCUACGCGUAGUAAAUUUUCUCGCGAUAGGGUCCCGGUGGAUGCUUGCCAACAACCCCCAACUUCUUAAGGUUGACCUCGGAUCAGGUAGGGAUACCCGCUGAACUUAAGCAUAUCAAUAAGCGGAGGA